GCAUUGAGAGGUGGCUUGUGGAGGAUGGAGAAGCAGGGCACGUGCAUUACCAUCUAACGCACGUGAGUACUUAGUUGGAUAGUUCUUCAUGUGCUCAUCUUCUCCAUCAUGCACAUCCUACCUAAAGUUUCAA
rnacentral:pre_miRNA from 1 species